GACGAACCGUGCGAACGUUAUUCGGAAUCACUGGGCUUAAAGCGCGUGUAGGCGGGUCGGCGCGUCGGACGCUGAAAUCCCCCGGCUCAACCGGGGAAGGGGCGCCGAGACGGCCGGCCUGGAGGGACGUAGGGGGGGCUGGAACUUCCGGUGGAGCGGUGAAAUGCGUUGAGAUCGGAAGGAACGCCCGUGGCGAAAGCGAGCCCCUGGACGUCUACUGACGCUGAGACGCGAAAGCCUGGAGGGAGCGAACGGG
rnacentral:rRNA from 1 species